rnacentral:rRNA from 1 species
CCUACGGGUGGCUGCAGUGGGGAAUAUUGGACAAUGGGCGAAAGCCUGAUCCAGCCAUGCCGCGUGUGUGAAGAAGGCCUUCGGGUUGUAAAGCACUUUCAGUGGGGAAGAAAGCCUUGGGGCUAAUACCCUCGAGGAAGGACAUCACCCACAGAAGAAGCACCGGCUAACUCCGUGCCAGCAGCCGCGGUAAUACGGAGGGUGCGAGCGUUAAUCGGAAUUACUGGGCGUAAAGCGCGCGUAGGCGGUCUGAUAAGCCGGUUGUGAAAGCCCCGGGCUCAACCUGGGAACGGCAUCCGGAACUGUCAGGCUAGAGUGCAGGAGAGGAAGGUAGAAUUCCCGGUGUAGCGGUGAAAUGCGUAGAGAUCGGGAGGAAUACCAGUGGCGAAGGCGGCCUUCUGGACUGACACUGACGCUGAGGUGCAAAAGCGUGGGUAGCAAACAGGAUUAGAUACCCUGGUAGUC